rnacentral:sRNA from 3 species
GAGAGCGUUGCCGCAGGCAACGACCCGAAGGGCGAAGCGCGCAGCGCUGAGUAAUCCUUCCCCCACCACCA